GAUGAUCCGAGACCCACCAUUCCCCUUGGCAACGGCGAUCCCUCUCAAUUUGCAUGCUUUAGGACUUCCACAACAGCGGAAGAGGCCAUAGUUGAUGCCGUCCAUUCAGCCAAGUACAAUGGUUAUGCACCUACUGUUGGAGUUCUCUCUGCCAGAAGGUAAUAUUUAUUGACACUUAACUCCGGUUUCUAUAUAUUUACAUUUUCCAUAUUCAUUCAAAAAAAAAAAAAUCCUGUUCUUGCUAAGAAAAUAUCAAGAAUGGUCUGUUUUAUAUGUAUUUAAAAAAUAAUAAUAAUACUUCCAAGAUUCUAACAGGGCUAUUGCAAAUUAUCUUAAUCGUGACCUUCCAUAUAAGUUAUCUGCGGAUGAUAUUUAUGUUACAAGUGGAUGCUUACAAGCAAUUGAAGUUGCAUUAGCAGCCAUUAACCGC
rnacentral:lncRNA from 1 species